CAUGCAAGUCGGACGGCAGCACAGAGAAGCUUGCUUCUUGGGUGGCGAGUGGCGAACGGGUGAGUAACAUAUCGGAACGUACCGAGCAGUGGGGGAUAACUAAUCGAAAGAUUAGCUAAUACCGCAUGUAUUCUGAGGAAGAAAGCAGGGGACCAUUUGGCCUUGCGCUGUUUGAGCGGCCGAUAUCUGAUUAGCUAGUUGGUGGGGUAAAGGCCUACCAAGGCGACGAUCAGUAGCGGGUCUGAGAGGAUGAUCCGCCACACUGGGACUGAGACACGGCCCAGACUCCUACGGGAGGCAGCAGUGGGGAAUUUUGGACAAUGGGCGCAAGCCUGAUCCAGCCAUGCCGCGUGUCUGAAGAAGGCCUUCGGGUUGUAAAGGACUUUUGUCAGGGAAGAAAAGGGCGGGGUUAAUACCCCUGUCUGAUGACGGUACCUGAAGAAUAAGCACCGGCUAACUACGUGCCAGCAGCCGCGGUAAUACGUAGGGUGCGAGCGUUAAUCGGAAUUACUGGGCGUAAAGCGGGCGCAGACGGUUACUUAAGCAGGAUGUGAAAUCCCCGGGCUCAACCUGGGAACUGCGUUCUGAACUGGGUGACUAGAGUGUGUCAGAGGGAGGUAGAAUUCCACGUGUAGCAGUGAAAUGCGUAGAGAUGUGGAGGAAUACCGAUGGCGAAGGCAGCCUCCUGGGAUAACACUGACGUUCAUGCCCGAAAGCGUGGGUAGCAAACAGGAUUAGAUACCCUGGUAGUCCACGCCCUAAACGAUGUCGAUUAGCUGUUGGGCAGCAUGACUGCUUAGUAGCGAAGCUAACGCGUGAAGU
rnacentral:rRNA from 1 species